CUCAUUUUCCAUAGCCUUUAAAUCCCAACGUUUGGCUGGCAAUCGUCGGAUUUCUUUGAGGAAAGAUGUCCCCUAUUUUGGUUGUUUCUGCCCCUCUUUUUCUUUGGUUUUCUGACGUCGGUGGUCACCGCCGAUCACUAGUCUAGGUUUCUUGGGAUGCGCCAUCAUAGCCCUGACAGCCACCGGCCACCACCAUAUCGGACAGGGCUUCCGGUCCAAAGAACAA
rnacentral:lncRNA from 1 species